rnacentral:lncRNA from 1 species
CUGAAGUCUGCCCCUGAGCCGGUCAAGGGCUUCAGCACCUGCUGGCCCUCCAAAGACCGUUGCGUGACACCUCGCUCUUGAACAGCGACAGGCUGGUCUCUCAAGGCCAGAAUCCUGGAGGAUUUGGGAUUAUAAUGCUGGGAUUGGAAUUCUCAUCAAGCAAGAACAGGGUCCUGGUACCCGACACCCGCACAGGGAACUGUUGGUGUGUUACACACGUCUACAUUCCCCUUCCUAACCCUCCCGUGGAUGAGAGGCUGUGGUCUCGUAGAUCAGAUGACUGAGAGGGUGUGCUGCCACCCCAUUGUCUCCCGUCCCUCAGCAAACCAGGGGGUGAGAAGGAUCGGGACAGACAGAAGGCGGAAACAGAAAUUGUAUUUAAUUCCAGGCAACACAAGCUACUCUGAUUAGUUUAAACAACGAAGGUCGUACUUCCAAGGAUCAGAUGGUUUGCCUAGUUGCUGCAUCUGGAGGAACGAGCUGGAGCAAAGAAUCCAGGCGACCCCGUUCCCAGCCUCGGAUGCUCUGCGUGGUUGGGGAGAUCGCUCUCCCGCAGGAUAAAGACUUGUUCCCCCAGACACGUCCCCAGAGGGCAGGCAGGUGGUCGACAUGCAUGGCGGACGGUAAAAGAAGUAAAAGUGAAUCCAGCAGAAGUCAAGGGGCAACACGAUGCUGCCACCCAUAAAAAAAACCCCAUACGUGCACAGCAUGCGCCCCAACCACCUCUGGUUUCCAGAAGAGGCCCACGAGGCGAAUGGAUGUAGAUCAGACCUAGGAGUGAGGGUUACUUGAAUAACAUGCAUCGUUGCACGUCUUCAUCAAUACACUCUUUCAAAACCUCAAACCUCCUUCUCCAUGGAAUCCAGCAGGCCAGUCAUUUCCUAACUUUUUCUGGGCAUUUCUAGAACUAAUUUCUAGACCUCACCACCAUUUAAACUUGAAUUUUUCAUGUGUUUUUUUUUUCAGCUGAUUUAUUCUCACUGUGUCGAUCAGUACAUGUGUAUUUAGCACCUGCUCCAGGCUGCACGAGGUGCUACAUGUGAUUGCUGGGAACCCAGAGGGUUGGAUGGGAAGGGAAGGGCUACACACGCAGAGCAAGAGCAGGGUCAAGCCCUCAGCCGAGUGCCAAGCCUCAAGCUGUGCAGCUGACUUCCUUCUGACAGAAAGAAUCCAAGGAAAGGGUUCCUGCUAAUCAGUGUUUUACUCUCAGGGCCAGUCCUGAGGUAGAGGAGAAGCCUUUCCACAAUUAAGCAGCUGAACGGUCACUGUCCAGAUGCUGCCAGUUUCAUUUUUAUUGGACGCUGCGUGAGCGUAAUUGUGAGUCCAAGACAAAGCAGAGACCGCAAAAGAGAAAUACGGUAAACGUUUAAUCUCGUUAAUAGGUUAGCAGGAAACACAUGCUCAAAUUAGAUUACAAUGUAGUUUUCUCUUCACAUUUAAAGUUGCACAAGGCCCAUUACGCAGUAUGAGCAACCAGAACCACUUCACACAAAGAUAUUUUGUACUUGAAAAAAAAGACUACAUUUUAGAAUGCAAACAGAAUAAAGUAAUUUCAUGUCCGAAUAUAGAGAAAUAAGUUUGUAAGCCAUUUAACUGGUUAUGAAGCGGUAUCCUUAAAAGCUGGCUUAAAGCCAUAUUUAUAAGCAUUUUUUUCUUUGAUUAAACGUUUUUCUUUAAUGCCUUUCGAGAAUGUCAGUGAGUGGCUAGCCAUAUUUCUGAGCCACAGAUGAAAGCCACUCCACAUAAAGAAGGAAAUCAAUUUGUGUCUCUCCAUGUGGCAGUAACUUUGGUGCAGGCUAGAAUAAAAUGUCCUUUCUUCCUCUCCUUGUGAGCGAGACCUUCAGGAGAGCCUCAGCCCCUGCCGUGUUUCACUGACGCAGGCAUGGACAUCAUAACUUCCCAUCAGUGCGUUUGCAAACCAUUCCUCUCCAUGUUUGAAAUGCACUCGUGCAGAAGCUGAGCAGGUCCCAGGGUCGCGCCCGGCUGCCCUGGAGGAAGGAGGGUAGAGGACGACGGAGGUAAAUCGUUAGAUUAAUCCAGCGAGAAGGACGUGGGACGUGGAGCAACAGAGCGCUCGAGUCUGGUUAAUUCCAAGAUGUCCUACUGACUCUUCGUGUUUCCUGGGUUCCCUGUAAUGUUGAAGUGUCCAUGUUUCCAAAAACCCAUGUCUUCAAACAGUGACUAUGGAAGGAACUUAAAGUGAACCGUGCAUUUGAACUUUCCAAAAGAGUCUCAGAGAGCAGAGGCGGGCCCUCGUCGAGGCGAGACAGGCAGAUCUGUGAAUUAACUGUUCAGAGAUUGAAGUGGGUACCGAGGAUCCCUGGACUUCCCCCAUUUCUUCCUCCUUAGUUGGCACAUCGUUCACCAAGCUGCUGGAGCCAGAAACCUGAACUCAUGCUCUGCCUCUCCUUCCCUCCCCCACAACGCCUGGGACCCCAUGUUUGCUGGCAGGCCCAUUUCCCAGCUCUCUCCAGGGGUCCUGCUGCAUCCACGGACACGGUUCUGAGUCCCAACCAGGGACAUGACUGAGCGUCCCUGACCGGGAGGCCAUCUCAAGACUUUAUCUCGGCCUGCUUCAAACUGCCUCCCCAUAUGCAGCCAGAGCCACCUCAGAGAACCAACACCUGCUCCCACGGCUGAGCGGUGAUCCCCCUUUCCCCCGCCUCCCGUCUCCUGAGACCCUCAGAGGUGAGCCCCUUUCCCCGCCUCCCGUCUCCUGAGACCCUCAGAGGUGAGCCCCUUUCCCUGCCUCCUGUCUCCUGAGACGCUCAGUGGUAUACAGGUUGUUAAACAUCUCUCCUGUUGGAAAGAUGACGGUGGAGUGGGAGAGCGGGAGAGAAAGAGAGAGACGGAGAGAUGGAGGGAGAGGGGAGUGACAGGCAGAGAGAUGGAGGGACUGCGAAAGAGACAGACACAGAGGGCAGGAGCCGAGAGGCUGUGACAUGUGGGAGUCAGAAAUGGAACGCAGUGAUGACAGGUGACAUUUCUUGAGCAACUGUUGUGCACCAAAUACUGCCAGGCACCCGCUUCCAUACUGCUCAAUUCUCUGCACAAUCCACUGAAACGCAUCUUGGAAGCGGUGUGGUUGAGGCUGAAUAAAGAGCGUUGACUCUGGGUCCACGUUCCGGCUGCUGUGAUCUGCACUGUGGGCUCACGGACACCCUGUGGAGACCUCACCUACUGAAUCAAGUACGGUUUGUCAAGGCCUAACCCAAAGGAACAGGUGCUGCCGAAGUUUGCACCCUUGUCAGAGUUCUUCUCCUUUAGAGAUGGAGUUGGACUCACAGUCGUCUCUGGAACGUGACGAGCAUCCGGCGGGAAGUGGCUGUGUGGGCUGAGAACUAACUACCCACACCCUGGGAGCCGGGUACGUCUCUCACGGCUGCUUCGGGAGGUGAUUGUUGGGGGUGCUUGACUUCACGAUCCCAUUUCCUACGUGACAACAAAACGAGGAUAUGUGGUGACCUGUGUGGUUCCUGGAGCUCCUGCAGAGUGGACGAGACGGGGCAGCCACCCACCGGAGAGCAAGGGAGGCUCACUCAGGAGUAGCUGAGGGAGGAAGGAUGUGGUAUCGAUUGGGCCAAUACGAAAGAGAGGGGAGGGAGUGGAGUGUAGGCCACUGGGAUUCUCCCCUUGUGACAGGGACACAUUGACCAGAUAGAGCAAUUACUCAAAAUAUUAUACUUUUUAAAAUAAAUGUUGAAGAAGAUGUUUCCUAAAGUUUGUUAGGUAAGCAUCUUCCAAUAGAUGCAUCCUUUAAAAUAUAUGAGGCAUAUUUCUAUAGUCGGCUUAACAUUCCUGGGUGCCCUGGAGGCCCCGUUCACAGGGGGUCUUUGAGGCUCUGCCAUUCAUCCGUAAACCGCAUACACUGUCUUAUACCCAUGUGAUUAAAGAUAGUUCCUAAAUAUGCUCACAACUUUCACCACAUAUUUCAAUUUCAAAGGCGUUACAACUUUUUCUGAGAGAGCUUUCAUUUUACGCCAAGUUACAGAUAAGAGGAUGUCACAGAGUUUCUGCAUAACCUUAAAUAAACCAUGGUCCUUUGAGAGAGCGUCCAGGAGGGGCACGAAGGGUGGGGUCCAUCUGAGAAGACGGA